UACGUAGGGUGCAAGCGUUGUCCGGAAUUAUUGGGCGUAAAGAGCUCGUAGGCGGCUUGUCGCGUCGGCUGUGAAAACCCGGGGCUCAACCCCGGGCCUGCAGUCGAUACGGGCAGGCUAGAGUCCGGCAGGGGAGACUGGAAUUCCUGGUGUAGCGGUGAAAUGCGCAGAUAUCAGGAGGAACACUGGUGGCGAAGGCGGGUCUCUGGGCAGUAACUGACGCUGAGGAGCGAAAGCGUGGGGAGCGAACAGG
rnacentral:rRNA from 1 species